AAGUCGUAACAAGGUAACCGUAGGUGAACCUGCGGUUGGAUCAUUACUAAAUGAUUUUGUUUUCUUCUUUUGAGCUUUGUGAAAGCAGAGCUCGAGAAGAGGACAUUCACACCCACUGUGCACUAUAUUGUUUUUCGAGUUUUUGCAAGGCUACCUUUAACCGUAGCAGAGCAGAGACUCGGCCGUAAAAAACCCCUUUUAAACUUGCCUGAAUUUUUUAUAACACAUAAAAGAUAAACAACUUUUGACAACGGAUCUCUUGGCUCUC
rnacentral:misc_RNA from 1 species